AGCGAACGCUGGCGGCGGGCCUAACACAUGCAAGUCGAACGGACCCUUCGGGGUUAGUGGCGGACGGGUGAGUAACGCGUGGGAACGUGCCUUUAGGUUCGGAAUAGCUCCUGGAAACGGGUGGUAAUGCCGAAUGUGCCCUUCGGGGGAAAGAUUUAUCGCCUUUAGAGCGGCCCGCGUCUGAUUAGCUAGUUGGUGAGGUAAUGGCUCACCAAGGCGACGAUCAGUAGCUGGUCUGAGAGGAUGACCAGCCACAUUGGGACUGAGACACGGCCCAAACUCCUACGGGAGGCAGCAGUGGGAAUCUUGCGCAAUGGGCGAAAGCCUGACGCAGCCAUGCCGCGUGGAUGAUGAAGGUCUUAGGAUUGUAAAAUCCUUUCACCGGUGAAGAUAAUGACUGUAGCCGGAGAAGAAGCCCCGGCUAACUUCGUGCCAGCCGCCGCCGUAAUAC
rnacentral:rRNA from 1 species